rnacentral:rRNA from 1 species
UGGGGAAUAUUGCACAAUGGGCGAAAGCCUGAUGCAGCAACGCCGCGUGAGUGAUGAAGGCCCUUCGGGUUGUAAAGCUCUGUCUUUUGGGACGAUAAUGACGGUACCAAAGGAGGAAGCCACGGCUAACUACGUGCCAGCAGCCGCGGUAAUACGUAGGUGGCAAGCGUUGUCCGGAUUUACUGGGCGUAAAGGAUGCGUAGGCGGAUUUUUAAGUGAGAUGUGAAAACCCUAAGCUUAACUUGGGGACUGCAUUUCAUACUGGAAAUCUAGAGUGCGGGAGAGGAGAAUGGAAUUCCUAGUGUAGCGGUGAAAUGCGUAGAGAUUAGGAAGAACACCAGUGGCGAAGGCGAUUCUCUGGACCGUAACUGACGCUGAGGCAUGAAAGCGUGGGUAGCAAACAGGAUUAGAUACCCUGGUAGUCCACGCCGUAAACGAUGAGUACUAGGUGUAGGAGGUAUCGACCCCUUCUGUGCCGCAGUUAACACAAUAAGUACUCCGCCUGGGAAGUACGAUCGCAAGAUU